AACAGGUGUACUUAAGCUUAAAGGGGUCAUACUGUGGAACAUUAUGUGUACACUUUUUACAUUUUAAUAUAUCUGGAGUUUCAUGGUAAACAUCCUACAAAGUCCUACAAUUCUCUGUCUGCAUAGCUAGAAAUUAUGCAUUUAAAAGAAAAAUUUUGUUCUGAAAUGGUUUGUUGUUGGCUUCUGUGACGUAUGUCACGGAUCUGGACUGUUCGGCUAAUGUACUUCUCCAGGUUCACUUCCCUCUGGAAAGAAGCCGUGGCUGGUGCCAGGUCCUUUCGAUUUAAAGGACCAGACACAGCAAAAAAGGUGGAGAAAAUGGCUUUUCAGUUUGCAGGAUUCAUUUAUUUAUUUUUGUAACAGUAUAUGGUAAAUGAACUGUAUUUAUAUAGCACUUUUCCAUCUGAAGCACAAGUUCAAAGUGCUUUACAAUGAUGCGUCACAUAUUUUAAUAUGUUUUUUAAAUAAUGGUGACUAAUAUUAGCUUGCUAAAAAUGUGCCCAAGAUGUUUGACCCCUGUCUGAUUGUGGUUCUCUUAACACAGGAACCCUAACCCUAACCUUCCCACUAUCCUCGCAAGCGAGGAAACUGCCAACAAGAACACAUGAAUCAGCGAUAUUCAAUUAAAACACCUCAAGGUGGCAUCACAGACACACGGACUGUUUUCUAUAAUCCACAUACUGAAUUAUUAAUUUCAUGCUGGAAAAAAAACCCAUUUUUUGUGCACAAAGAUUUUCCAUUAAAAUACGGUGCUCCUUUCACAAAAUCCUUUCCAGUACUACAGCUCUGACGUCAGUUUCUGCAGAGCGCUGCUGAUCUUGAGGUAGUUACUAGUAAACGUUGCAGUGCGCUUCAAAUCAGGCCAAAUUUAAGAAAUUUUUAGCCGUGUUAAUCUACAGCGGCUGAAUGAUGGACAAGAGCUGGUACCAAACAAAAUAAAUAUAAAUGAGUGUGAAUUAAGAUACAGUAACAUCCGAUUAUUGAUAAUCGGACCAGAAAAGAUGGGUGUUAAGUAUGACAUGCGUUGGAUCUGAUAGUUCAUUUCAAAUUCCAAGAGCAGUAAAACAGACAUUAUCAGGACGACAGUAUUCCUACAGACUGUUUUUAACU